rnacentral:rRNA from 1 species
UACAGAGGGUGCAAGCGUUAAUCGGAAUUACUGGGCGUAAAGCGUGCGCAGGCGGUCCGUUGUGUCCGAUGUGAAAGCCCCGGGCUUAACCUGGGAAUGGCAUGGGAAACUGGCGGGCUGGAGUGUGGCAGAGGGGGGUGGAAUUCCGCGUGUAGCAGUGAAAUGCGUAGAGAUGCGGAGGAACACCGGUGGCGAAGGCGGCAUCCUGGACCGGCAUUGACGCUGAGGCGCGAAAGCCAGGGGAGCAAACGGG